ACGAACGCUGGCGGCGUGCCUAACACAUGCAAGUCGAGCGGGGACUUGUUGAGGAAGUCUUCGGAUGGAAUUGAUAAGUUCUAGCGGCGGACGGGUGAGUAACGCGUGAGCAACCUGCCCUCCACAGGGGGAUAACGCACCGAAAGGUGCACUAAUACCGCAUAAGACCACGUUUCUGACAUGGGAAUGAGGUCAAAGGAGCAAUCCGGUGGAAGAUGGGCUCGCGUCUGAUUAGCUAGUUGGUGAGGUAACGGCCCACCAAGGCGACGAUCAGUAGCCGACCUGAGAGGGUGAUCGGCCACAUUGGAACUGAGAGACGGUCCAAACUCCUACGGGAGGCAGCAGUGGGGAAUAUUGGGCAAUGGGCGAAAGCCUGACCCAGCAACGCCGCGUGAAGGAAGAAGGUUUUCGGAUCGUAAACUUCUAUCCUUGGUGAAGAUAAUGACGGUAGCCAAGAAGGAAGCCCCGGCUAACUACGUGCCAGCAGCCGCGGUAAUACGUAGGGGGCAAGCGUUGUCCGGAAUGAUUGGGCGUAAAGGGCGCGUAGGCGGCCAACUAAGUCUGGAGUGAAAGUCCUGCUUUUAAGGUGGGAAUUGCUUUGGAAACUGGAUGGCUUGAGUGCAGGAGAGGUAAGCGGAAUUCCCGGUGUAGCGGUGAAAUGCGUAGAGAUCGGGAGGAACACCAGUGGCGAAGGCGGCUUACUGGACUGUAACUGACGCUGAGGCGCGAAAGUGUGGGGAGCAAACAGGAUUAGAUACCCUGGUAGUCCACACUGUAAACGAUGAAUGCUAGGUGUAGGGGGUAUCGACCCCUUCUGUGCCGGAGUAAACACAAUAAGCAUUCCGCCUGGGGAGUACGGCCGCAAGGUUAAAACUCAAAUGAAUUGACGGGGGCCCGCACAAGCAGUGGAGUAUGUGGUUUAAUUCGACGCAACGCGAAGAACCUUACCAAGUCUUGACAUCCUUCUGACCGGUACUUAAUCGUACCUUCUCUUCGGAGCAGGAGUGACAGGUGGUGCAUGGUUGUCGUCAGCUCGUGUCGUGAGAUGUUGGGUUAAGUCCCGCAACGAGCGCAACCCUUGUGAUCAGUUACUAACGGGUAGUGCCGAGGACUCUGAUAAGACUGCCGGGGACAACUCGGAGGAAGGUGGGGACGACGUCAAAUCAUCAUGCCCCUUAUGACCUGGGCUACACACGUGCUACAAUGGCCACUACAGAGAGCAGCGAAUUCGUAAGGAAGAGCAAAUCUCAAAAAAGUGGUCCCAGUUCGGAUUGUGGGCUGCAACCCGCCCACAUGAAGUCGGAGUUGCUAGUAAUCGCGGAUCAGCAUGCCGCGGUGAAUACGUUCCCGGGCCUUGUACACACCGCCCGUCACACCAUGGGAGUUGGUAGCACCCGAAGUCGCUGAGGUAACCGAAAGGAGCCAGGCGCCGAAGGUGAGACCAAUGACUGGGGUG
rnacentral:rRNA from 1 species